UGGGGAAUAUUGCACAAUGGACGGAAGUCUGAUGCAGCAACGCCGCGUGCGGGAUGACGGCCUUCGGGUUGUAAACCGCUUUUUCUCAUGACGAAGUUUUUUGACGGUAGUGGGGGAAGAAGCACCGGCUAACUACGUGCCAGCAGCCGCGGUGAUACGUAGGGUGCGAGCGUUGUCCGGAAUUAUUGGGCGUAAAGAGCUUGUAGGCGGUUUGUCGCGUCGAUAGUGCAAACUCAGUGCUUAACGCUGAGCCUGCUGUUGAUACGGGCAGACUAGAGGAAGGUAGGGGAGAAUGGAAUUCCCGGUGGAGCGGUGGAAUGAGCAGAUAUCGGGAGGAACACCGGUGGCGAAGGCGGUUCUCUGGGCCUUUCCUGACGCUGAGAAGCGAAAGCGUGGGGAGCGAACAGG
rnacentral:rRNA from 1 species